AUGUGGGAUAGCUCAGUUGGUAGAGCAUGAGACUCUUAAUCUCAGGGUUGUGAGUUUGAGCCCCGCUUUGGGUG
rnacentral:tRNA from 1 species